CUUUCGUUCUUCUUAGUAGUUCCUUCUCCUUCUUCUGGGGGCCAUCAUCAUCUUCACUAUCUCCUUCCUCUUUAUUCCCUACCGUUUGUUUCAGUCCAUGGCCAGAACGUCUCCACGAGGUGGUCGGUCGGGAGAGCCGACUGACGACACUCGAUCGACCCCGAAAGUGGAGAUUUCUUCACUUUCGGGGCCGAACGUCGAUCGGCUCCGGGAGCAAUAC
rnacentral:lncRNA from 1 species